rnacentral:rRNA from 1 species
AUGGCAAAGUCUAGUUGCGGUAUUCAAACGUUUAAACGUGGGCAUAUAUGGAGAGUUGGCAAGGGAAAAAAGAUCAAUAUUUGGGAAGAUCACUGGGUACCUUCCAGGCCCACAAGGCAAGUGAUUACACCUAGAGGUGGUGCUAUAAUCACAAGAGUGAAUGAAUUGAUUGAUCCGAUUACUGAACAAUGGGAUGAAGAACUAAUACGUAGCAUUUUCAGUCCUGUUGAUGUUGGGAGAAUCCUUCGUAUCCCAUUGAGCCAUAAUGGAUUUGAGGAUUUUGUAGCCUGGCAGGGGAAUAGGAAUGGAGUUUUCAGAGUUGGCUCAAUGGAAAGCGUUGGGAUGCCAUCGAUGCAAGAUCUCUGGCAUAUUGGUACUGAUGGAGGGUGCCCAAUUUGUCAUCAAGGUGCAGAAGAUAUCCUACAUCUAGUUUUUAAAUGUGGAAGGGCAGAAGAAAUGUGGAGGCUCCUGGGGAUUACAAAUUUAAUCGCUGAUGCAUGUCACAUAGACAGACCGGGUUCUGCAGUUCUCGAACACUUGUUACGGUUGCCACCCGCUACAUUACCACACAUGCCAAGCGUUGGGAUGAACGAGGGGAUCAUUACCGCUUGUUGGUAUUUAUGGUGGCUUAGGAGAAGGCAGACCCAUGACGAGGCUGUUCCUCCAAUGGCUAGAAACGUUGUUGUUGUCCAGGCUAUUUGUGCUAAUCAAGAGAUAAGAGAAGGAUGUGACCACAGGCCUCCUCAGAGCUCAGUGAAUCUCGGCCGUUGGAUUGCAAAAUGUAAAUACCAUGCCCCCACUGGGAUAUUUUGGUCAUUUCACAUAGUGGCCUAUAAAAGCCAGCAGCUCCCGUGGCAAGCCCUAGCCGCCUCUCUCUCCCGCACUCGCGCAGCCCCUCGCCUCCCCCUCCCCCUCCUGCCCACUCGCUCGAUCCUCCGUCGCCGCCUCGGUCGCCGGUUGAUUCCGGCCGCUCCGGGUUUCAGUGGUGGAGGUGGACCUCGCCUCCAGCGGCUGCCUGCUCGUUGCGCCGGUCAUCUCCGCCCCCGUCAAGGUCGCCCCUCGGAGCUGCUCGUGAUCCACCGGGGGAGGCGAGGAGCACCAGCAGAUCGAGUCCCUGGCGUUUUCCUCUACGAGCUGGGGCUGGCGUGCGCUUCUCCUCGCCGGUAUCACUUCUCCCCUUCCUCUUCUAUGGUGCUCGACAGAGGCAGCACGGCCGCCCCUCUUCUCCCUCGCUGUUGGCUGCCCAUGAGCACCACGCUGCUCACCGGACCGAUUUGUGACACCCCCACCGACCUGAGGUCCGCCUCUGCAGGUAUGAGCUCCCCCACCCUCCCCUCCCACCCCAGCUCCUCCUCCCCCUACUCGCCUCCUUUGCUUUCCACGAUGGAUCUUGUGGGAGAUGAUGGCAUCAACUGUCUUGCGGUUUUGCUACAUGGAUCAGAUGACAGCCAGGGCUAG